CUGGGCGUAAAGCGCAUGCAGGUGGUUUGUUAAGUCAGAUGUGAAAAGCCCGGGGCUCAACCUCGGAAUUGCAUUUGAAACUGGCAAACUAGAGUACUGUAGAGGGGGUAGAAUUUCAGGUGUAGCGGUGAAAAUGCGUAGAGAUCUGAAGGAAUACCGGUGGCGAAGGCGGCCCCCUGGACAGAUACUGACACUCAGAUGCGAAAGCGUGGGGAGCAAACAGGAUUAGAUACCCUGGUAG
rnacentral:rRNA from 1 species